rnacentral:rRNA from 1 species
AGGACGAACGCUGGCGGCGUGCUUAACACAUGCAAGUCGAGCGGAAAGGCCACUUCGGUGGUACUCGAGCGGCGAACGGGUGAGUAACACGUGAGUAAUCUGCCCCUGGCUUUGGGAUAGCCACCGGAAACGGUGAUUAAUACCGGAUAUGACCACGUACUGCAUGGUGUGUGGUGGAAAGUUUUUCGGCCAGGGAUGUGCUCGCGGCCUAUCAGCUUGAUGGUGAGGUAAUGGCUCACCAUGGCUUCGACGGGUAGCCGGCCUGAGAGGGUGACCGGUCACACUGGGACUGGAGACACGGCCCAGACUCCUACGGGAGGCAGCAGUGGGAAUAUGGACAGUGGGCGAAGCCUGAUCCAGCAACGCCGCGUGAGGAUGACGGCCUUCGGGUGUAAACCUCUUUCAGUACCGACGAGCGCAAGUGACGGUAGUACAGAAGAAGCACCGGCCAACUACGUGCCGAGUAGCCGAC